rnacentral:sRNA from 1 species
GNGUGCCUAAGCAUGAAAGUCGAGCGAGAGACUUCGGUCUCUAGCGGCGGACGGUUGCCUAACACGUGGGCAACCUGCCUUGUAGAGGGGGAUAGCCUUCCGAAAGGAAGAUUAAUACCGCAUAACAUAUUACUUUCGCAUGAAAGAAAUAUUAAAGGAGCAAUCCGCUACAAGAUGGGCCCGCGGCGCAUUAGCUAGUUGGUGAGGUAAUGGCUCACCAAGGCGACGAUGCGUAGCCGACCUGAGAGGGUGAUCGGCCACAUUGGAACUGAGACACGGUCCAGACUCCUACGGGAGGCAGCAGUGGGACUCCUACGGGAGGCAGCAGUGGGGCAGUUGGCUCAGAACGAACGCUGGUGG